rnacentral:rRNA from 1 species
AGUUCGAUUCUGGCUCAGAUUGAACGCUGGCGGGAUGCUUUACACAUGCAAGCCGAACGGCAGCACGGACUUUCCGGUCUGGUGGCGAGUGGCGAACGGGUGAGUAAUGUAUCGGAACGCCUAAGGAUAACUAUUGCGAAAGGGUAGCUAAUACCGCAUACGCCCUUCGGGGGAAAGCGGGGACCUUCGGGCCUCGCACUAUUAGAGCGGCCGAUAUCGGAUUAGCUAGUUGGUGGGGUAACGGCUCACCAAGGCGACGAUCCGUAGCUGGUUUGAGAGGACGACCAGCCACACUGGGACUGAGACACGGCCCAGACUCCUACGGGAGGCAGCAGUGGGGAAUUUUGGACAAUGGGGGAAACCCUGAUCCAGCCAUCCCGCGUGUGCGAUGAAGGCCUUCGCCAAAGCACUUUUGGCAGGAAAGAAACGGCACGGGAUAAUACCCCGUGCAACUGACGGUACCUGCAGAAUAAGCACCGGCUAACUACGUGCCAGCAGCCGCGGUAAUACGUAGGGUGGCAAGCGUUAAUCGGAAUUACUGGGCGAAGCGUGCGCAGGCGGUUCGAAAGAAAGAUGUGAAAUCCCAGAGCUUAACUUUGAACUGUAUUUCAAAAUUUACUGAUGAUGUCAGGAGGAGGUGGAAUUCGCGUAGCAGUGAAAUGCGUAGAUAUGCGGAGGAACACCGAUGGCGAAGGCAGCCUGGGAUAACACCGACGCUCAUGCACGAAAGCGUGGGAGCAAACAGGAUUAGAUACCCCGGUAGUCCACGCUCUAAACGAUGUCAACUAGCUGUUGGGGCCUUCGGGCCUUGGUAGCGUAGCCAACGCGUGAAGUUGACCGCCUGGGGAGUACGGUCGCAAGAUUAAAACUCAAAGGACGGGACCCGCACAAGCGGUGGAUGAUGUGGAUUAAUUCGAUGCAACGCGAAAAACCUUACCUACCCUUACAUACCGGAACUCUGAAGAGAUUUGGGAGUGCUCGCAAGAGAACCGGAACACAGGUGUUGCAUGGCUGUCGUCAGCUCGCCGUGAGAUGUUGGGUUAAGUCCUGCAACGAGCGCAACCCUUGUCAUUAGUUGCUAUGAAAGGGCACCUAAUGAGACUGCCGGUGACAAACCGGAGGAAGGUGGGGAUGACGUCAAGUCCUCAUGGCUCCGCGGUAGGGCUUCACACGUCAUACAAUGGUUACUGUACAGAGGGUCGCCAACCCGCGAGGGGGAGCCAAUCCCAGAAACCCGAUCGUAGUCCGGAUCGCAGUCUGCAACUCGACUGCGUGAAGUCGGAAUCGCUAGUAAUCGCGGAUCAGCAUGUCGCGGUGAAUACGUUCCCGGUCUGUACACACCGCCCGUCACACCAUGGGAGUGGGUUUUACCAGAAGUAGUUAGCCUAACCGUAAGGAGGGCUACUGUCACGUAGGAUUCAUGACUGGGGUGAGGUCGUAUCAGCAGC